rnacentral:pre_miRNA from 1 species
AGCUUUCCUAAUCCGUGGAGAGAUUUAGUCAGACAUUGACCCAUUAGAGCAGAUCAGACUUCCAAGAUAAGUGAAGUU